rnacentral:rRNA from 1 species
UAAUUAAGCUACGUUGCGCUUUUUGGAAUGGACGAGAACUGUACAUGCCUUCUAAAGUCUCUACUCUAACACGGAAGCCCUUGGCAUUGUGUCCACGACGUACCGACAGCAGUCGAGCACAGCACUCUACAACAGAAUUCACUGCGUUGCUCGCGUUGGGAACAGUGAUCAACGGUAGUAAUUCAACCCGUGAAAUCACUCUGACGGCCUCGAUUAGGCCUCCUUCCACCCCUACUGCAGUUCAGGAGUACCGGGAAUACUCGUCCCGAAGUGUGCAGUAUGUUACCAUUCAUGUCUCCCUUCGCUUCGCCGCUGCACCUCGUUUAGAGUAUUUUGAAUAGCAUCAGGCCUAGCAUCAGACGUUGAGCUGAUGCACUUCAGCCUUAGCGAUCAUUAGCGUCUAGUCGUACGAC